rnacentral:rRNA from 1 species
AUGCUUAAGUUGGAUAUAUCCAAAGCCUUUGAUUCAGUUUCAUAGGAGUUUCUGCUUAAGCUACGGCAAGGUCUGGGCUUUGGGCUGAAGUGGAGAGGAUGGAUAUCAGCCCUCUUUUUCUCUGCUUCACCAAGAAUAUUAGUCAACUCCAAAUGCACUCAACAAAUCCUCCAUCGUAAGGGCCUCAGGCAAGGAGAUCCCCUCUCCCCGGUGCUCGUUGUGCUUGUGGUGGACUGUCUUGGAAGGUUGAUGGACAAAGCACAAAGGAACAACAUCCUAUCCCCUCUGGGUAACCAACUUGUUAAACACCAUGCAUCUAUUUAA